rnacentral:rRNA from 1 species
AUUGAACGCUGGCGGCAGGCCUAACACAUGCAAGUCGAGCGGAGCGGCGGACGGGUGAGGGAUGCCAAGGAAUCUGCCUCGUAGUGCGGGAGAACGUCCGGACACGGGCGCUAAUACCGAAUACUCGCCGAUUAGCCUGGUUGGGAUUAGCUAGUGGGUGGGGUAAAGGCCUACCAAGGCGACGAUCCGUAACUGGUCUGAGAGGAUGAUCAGUCACACGGGGACUGAGACACGGCCCAGACGCAGACGGGAGGCAGCAGUGGGGAAUAUUGGACAAUGGGCGCAAGCCUGAUGCAGCCAUGCCGCGUGUGUGAAGAAGGUCUUCGGAUUGUAAAGCACUUUAAGUUGGGAGGCGUUACCAACAGAAUAAGCACCGGCUAACUCCGUGCCAGCAGCCGCGGUAAUAC